GUUAAUGUUUGAUGGGUUAACCUGAUUUGACGUGUUAUUUUUUUCAUUUAGUUUAGUUUGUUAAAGUUAAUUUUCUUUCUAUUUAAUUAUCAGAUUUCCAUACUUUUAUGACACGUAUCUUGGGCUUGACGGGUUAACUUGGUUUAAUUAGUUAACCCGGUUAAUUCUGGGUAAACCCGUCAUUUUUUUUUCUAUUUAGUUAUCAAACUUUCAUGACGCGAAUCUCAGGUUUUACGGGAUAACCUGGUUUAAAGGGUUAACCCAAGUAAUUCAAUUUUUUUUUCUUUUUCUUCAUUGGUUUUUUCCUUCCUGUUGAUUUUUUUCUUUGUUUUUUUUAAUUAAUCUAUUUAAUUAUCACACUUUUAUGACACGAUCUUAUAGCCAGACCCACAUCCAAUAUUCUUGGGUCCGGUGUUGCAGUCAGGCUCACUUAAACUUGGGUCAUGCAAGUUUAAUUUUAUUAUUAAUAUUAUAAAUAUUACUUUUAGGUCAGACGUUAUAGCCAAACCUAAGAUUUUUGGGUAUAACUUUACAGAAAAACCCAAGAUUUUUAAAUUAUUAUUUUUUGUAAUAUUUUUUAUGCAAAAAAAUGACCCGCGGCAUCGCGCGGGUCAAGUGUCUAGU
rnacentral:lncRNA from 1 species